UUAUUUUUAUAAUUUCAAACAGGCCUUCAAAAGUUUGCCUUAAUGACUCAAUAGAGUCAUUGAAUAGAUUUAUUUACUUUUUUAAUUUAAAUUCUUUUCUUUAGCCCAUUAUCCCUAUGUUUACACAAAAUAUUCAAGAAGGAUUUAGAUCACUUGGAGGAACAAGGUUAUCUAGACGGCUUUAUGAAAAAUUCCACUAUCCAUUUGCUCCAAUGUAUGGGGAUUUUCCAGUGAAGUUACGGACCUAUUUAGGUGACCCCAUUCCCUAUGAUACAAAGAUAACAGCAGAAUUAGCUGAAAAGGUAAAUUAUUUUUUCUUUCUUAGUCUUAGGACAGAUUUUCAUUUUCAAUUAUUAUAUGUAAAAUGACAUUUAUUAGCUUAUAUAUUUGUUUCUAUAUGUAAGAUUUUGGAAAUACUGGGAUAGAGUUAGGGAACAAAGUUAGAACGGUACUGAAGAUGCAGAAGUCAUUAACUCUGAGACUAUUUCUGAACCUUGGAGGUUUACAAGGCAAAUUAGAAAAAGAGGACUGAGAAAAGCUGCAGGAGAUGUGAUAUUUAAGCUGUAGGCCAACAACAAUUGAACCCAACUAGAGGGGAACUAGCAGAGAAGGAGAACAGGUAAAUGUGUAUGACAAAAGUCAGUGGGUGAGGUUUUUAAAAGAGUGAGAAUUAUCAGUAAUAGUUCUUACAAAGGAAAAUACCCAUCAUGCACAAUUCCAAGGAGGAGAGGUCCUCCCUGGCUUACCAUUUCAGUCCACAGUUGGCUGACUUCUAGGCAGAGAAAGCAUGGGGGAAAGGCAUGGAGGAGGAAAACUGUUCAACUCAUUGGCAUCCAGGAAGCAGAGAAGGGGAGGAAUUGAAUAGGUCAUAUGCCCUUCUACAUUAUGCCUCCAAUAACCUGUCUGUUUUGGCCAGGCUGCACCUCCUAACAGUGCAUUCAGCUAAGAACUCAUCAGUGGGUUAAUUCACUGAUAAGUGUAGCACCACAUGAUUCAAUCACCUUUCAGAAGCCUCAUUUCUGAAUACAUUGGACUUUUGGAAGACAUUCUAGAUCUAAACCUAAACCCUACCUUAUGAGUGUACUUUCACAGAGUUUAAAACUACAAAAAAGCAAUAAAUGUCAUAUUACUGAAUCUCUUUAAAAAUGGGAUGAAUGUGUUUGGUUAUGAUUUUUUUAGCAGCUUUUAGUAUAUAUAUUAGUCUGAUUUAUUUAAAAAAUUUAAGUUGUUAUAGAAAAACACAUAAAUUUACCAUCUGAACCAUUUUUAAGCAUAAAAUUGAGUACUGUUAGGAACAUUCACAUCGUUGUAUACUAGAUCUCUAAAAUUCUUUCACCUUGCAAAAUUCGCCCUACUCCCACUGUGUAGGG
rnacentral:lncRNA from 1 species